UCGAACAUAAUGUAAGCCUGCAUGGAUACCAUCACCGUAUUGUAUUAACUUUAUCACAGCUACGCUCUUCUUGAAUCUUUUACUUCAUCAACGAGCGUUAACUGGAAUAGAAUGCCUGCAUGGUGUUAAGUUCGCCUUUGUAAAAUGUUUUUGGGCAAUAAAUAAUUUUCAAACAAUCGACCGCCAAUUGUACUUUUUGUUUUUAAUGUAUCGCACUGUUCAUUUGUUUUUUUGGUGUACAAUAAAGAAUACUCUCUCUCUCUCUCUCUCUCUCUCAAUCCUGCCUAUUUCUACCGUGAAGCAGUUACACGAUCCAGUUUGAGUUUGAUAGGUGUUUAAUAUCCAAAUAUAAUUCUUCUGCGCUUGUUUAAGUGACUGAACUCCUCCUGUACUGGCUGGACCGAUUUUCAUGAUUUUUUUUGUUUGUGUUCAAGUGGAUUUGAGAAUGACUUAGAUUCACAAUUCGGAAUUAUAUAAGAUAUGUGACAUGACGUCUGUCGGAUCCGCUAGUGCUUUUAAACAAACACUCCGUCCUCGUGCCGCAAGGUGGAUGUCAGCAUUCACAUUGUAAUAUCUACCAAAUGGGUGGGCCAAGCACCCAAAGCCAUCGGAACCAUGGACUUGUUCACGCAUCUAUGGAAUCUUUUUACCGACUCCAAAAAAAAAGGGUUUCUAUGUUCGAUGUACAUUCUCAGAUUUCUCCGUGAUUCAUGCUUCGACAUUUAAUUAUUUUUUUGUUUGAUACUACAUAUACUCUCCAUUGUUUAGUUUAGUUUGUAUUUUAUAGCUUUUUUACGAUAAAACACACACAACGCACCCUAAACCGGUGACUGCCGAAAGCUGAUAAAACGUUCAGAUAAUGGCUGCACGGGAAGAAAUGGGGUGGUGUCAUUCAAUGCCUAGAGCACACGGCCAGAUAAAAAUAUGGUAUUAAGAGUUAAUAUUUUUAUCAAAUGAUCCGAAUUCAGCAAUAAGAGGCCAGUACUGGUGAUUGAUGGGGCGUUUUUUCUCAUUAACCUGUUUUCCAACUGUUUAUCAGUAACCUAAUGAUUGAUGCACAUGUGUCUCAUAACUUAGCUAGACUUAUUUAUAAUUUAUUAUAAAUUGUCAGAGCAUGUCUUCAACCUCCAACACACAACUGCCAACACUCAACACGCCCCCACUGGUGACCACAUGUUGAGUUAUACAUUGAAUUAUUCAAGUAAAUGAUUUCCUGUUUUUAAUGGUUUUUCUAAUGCAACAAACAUUAUUUAAGUUUAGACAUCUACGACAUUUCUAUCUGAUUGUUCUUUUAAUACUGUAAUUUUAAAAUUGAUAACAUAGUAAAAUAUUAUAUUUUAGAAAAACAUCAGUCAAAUACUACUUGAAAAAAUCAUAAUGAAGAGUUUCAUAGUUAUGAUACAUUGUACCAUAAAAUUUCAACUAAAUAAUAAAAUAGUGAAAGUAGAUUAUCCAAGUCAUAUGUUUCUCAACAACUACUUCACGUGUAAUGGUUUACAACAAAAAUAUUUUUCAAUGCAAGUUCAAAGCAAUUUCUUUGAAAGUUUCUUGAUUUUGAAAUCUAAUUUUUCUACAAACUCCACCUUAUAUUUAAAAGUUAGAAGUCUUGACACUAACUAUUUUUCUAAAUAAAUAAAAAAUAGCAACAUCAUAAUAACAUGACUAAUCUCCUUCUCUCAAUAAAAUAUUUGCAGUGUCAUAAAUGAUUUUCAUACUUAUUUUUACAAUACACAUAUCUUCUAAUUUCAGACUGUGAUUUGAACAAUACAUUACAAAGGUUCAAUUUUUUGCCAUUUGAACUGGCUAUGAAAUUAUGAAAAAUAUAUUUCAAGCUCUACCCCAGGGAGUGAUAUGCAUGUGGUAUGUGAGGUCAUUGACCUGAAGGCUAUUUGAGUACAAAGAAAAUUGAGCUCUAUUUGUUGGCAUAAAUAAACCUCUCUAAAAAGUGAUUGGUGAUUAAACCUGGCUCCUAAUUGUGAACACUAUGUGUAGCAUUGAGGUAUAUAAUGCAAGUUAUUCAAAAGAUAACUAAAAAAAGGUUGCAGGAUUAAGAGCAAACUAAUUAAACAACACUUCUACCUACCUGAUGGGCUUGGAUUUUAAUUCAUCUGCCUUAUGAUACAAAGAAAUAAUAAUUUAUUUUUUAGGAAACACUGAAAACUAAAACACUGUUUAUAUUAUUUUACCUUAAUAAAUAAAUAGUUUCCUCGAA